rnacentral:rRNA from 1 species
GGCCGGGAACUCAAAGGAGACUGCCAGUGAUAAACUGGAGGAAGGUGGGGAUGACGUCAAGUCAUCAUGGCCCUUACGACCAGGGCUACACACGUGCUACAAUGGCGCAUACAAAGAGAAGCGACCUCGCGAGAGCAAGCGGACCUCAUAAAGUGCGUCGUAGUCCGGAUUGGAGUCUGCAACUCGACUCCAUGAAGUCGGAAUCGCUAGUAAUCGUAGAUCAGAAUGCUACGGUGAAUACGUUCCCGGGCCUUGUACACACCGCCCGUCACACCAUGGGAGU